CCGAAACUAAAGAAUAGAGAGUGGUCGUCGGCCAUACUUUCUGCGAGGUGACCAAGUCCCCAUAGGGGCCGUGCUACUUAUGUAGAUGGGCAGGACCCUAAAGGCCGGCCUGCCUAUGUACCACCUGCUCCAUUAGCGAUGAGCUUUUUUGGCAACGUUGAUGGUUUGGAACCCCCAAUUUCAUCCAUCUCCAUCAAGUUCGGGUGCUUCCCCAAUCCCCAUCUCUGUCUUGUCGUCCUACACAUGCCAUUCG
rnacentral:lncRNA from 1 species